CGCCCUGCAGGGCUUUGUGCCGAUCGCCCCCGCCGGCCCCCUCCCCUCCCUCGGAGCCUUACUCCUUUCAAACUUUUACUGAAACCUGGCAGGCUCUGCAAGGGGAAAUAGCUCACAUCCCCAGUAAUUUAAGUUGUUAAAAUGCGUGUCUGCCCUUUUAAAAGGGUGUUUGCUAAAUCCUGCCUUUUUUCCCCAGUCCCCAGGAGUCAACACUGUAAAACUGAAAAUAAUAACAACAAUAAUAAUAAAAAAAGGUCUCUAAGCAAGUAAUCUGUUCCAGGUUUUAGUAAGCAAAGUAUGAUUCAAUGAUUCAUACUGAUACCGCUACGGCAGAGACGGGGUUGGGGGGACGAUGGUGGCAGUUUCUGUAUAAAAUUUAAAAUUAGCCCAACUGCUGAAGGCUUGUGAAUACCAGGGCGCCUCAGCGCUCAGUCCCUGCCCAGUUAUCCCCCUCAGCCCCAGCAGAGCCGGCGCUCUCUCCUGCUGUAACUUCAGUGGGUGUUUCAGCCGAGGCUGAGCAAUGGCAUCUGGGCCCUCUUCCCCGCGCAGGCGGGCGAGGGGGGCCCUGCCCCGGCACUGCAGGCUGUUCCUCCUACCCUGCACUCCUUGUGGCUUGGCUGGGAGAACAGAAACCCCUGCCUUGUUGGGCUGCAGAGCGCUGACCCGAGCGGCCAUCGCACCGACAACUUCAAACAAAUGAUCCACUUCCUCCUCUGUUUGCUUUGGAGUCGCGGCAUCUGGACUUUGCGCUGGCGGCUGAUCUUUUUCCCCUCCUUUGGUCUUCAAGAACAACCAAAAUAACCAACCGAGAGAAAUGCCCACAGGCUCGGGCUAUUCCAGAUUUUUUUUUUUUUUAUGACCAUUAUCAUUAUUAUUUACUUAAGGAGAGCAAUCAGGUUCCUCGAAUUUCCUUCUCUUUAUAGUUUCUUUUUUUCUUUCCCCCCUCGCCUUGGCCAGAAGUGAGGAGUAGACAGGGGAGCGAACAGCCUAUUAUUUUCUGCAGUUGUUUACUCGUUCUGUAGAUGGUGCUUGUUCCCAGGGCUCUGAGCCUCUCUAUAAUUAAACCCAUUUUAAUUGUUAGUUAGAAACGUCAUUUCGGGGACUUUCCAAGAGUUACCGAGAAAGCCAGCCGAGAUAACUAUUUCACUACCGAGUCGCUCGCUGCCUGAUUUUUGCCCGGUUCCUCCUGUCGUCCAGCCACGGCAUGGGGCUGAUCUGGGAGUGGGAUUGCAGCAAGCCCAGGGCCGGCAGCCCCUCCGCCAGCACAGCCCUCUGCCCCUGCUGCUUCAGUGUGUUAUUCACUUGCACCGUGUGCAUUUGUUUUGGAAACUUGGGGUUUAAGGCGGCACAUUUCCGCGGAUCAAGUGGCAAAGGCUGAAGCUGAGAAGGAAUUUUUUUCCAGUGAUUUAGCUUGGCAAACCCUGACUCCAUGGUGGUCUGCCUUGCAUUGCCUGCGCACAUGCUCAGCUCAGGAAUUUAGCUGCUCACCCCACCUCGUGGUUAAAAGUCAGAGCCCUCCGGGCCAGAGUGGGAAUUUGUGUGGGCAUGAAUUCACACCGAGCAGAGGAAUGAAAAAAUUGGAGGCUUACACCACCCGCCAGAGCCAUGCCAGAACUUUGAUAGAUGCAAAUGAACAAAGAUAGGUAAAUGAAUAAAUGAAAGUCAAUUAUUAAAGAAGAUUACUGAAAAAGUGAAUGAAUGCAAUGCCAUGCUCACUAGCCUUCUUGGGUGAGUCAGUCCAUCCAGGCCCAGCACAUUCCAGUUGGGAUACUACAGCUGGGCCUUGGAAGCAGGAAUCAAUGUCCAGAACCUCCCAAGACCUUCUCAAACUUGUCCUCAGCGCAGGAGCCACUUUUGGAGCCCUCUCCUUCCCUGGUUCAAAUGCAAGCAGAUGCUAAAGUUGUCACAAAAUACAGAGAGAUAAGAUUCUGCAUUAGACCUGUGCACACAUUUAGCACAGGAAUCAAGAACUCUUUUCCUGCAUGAGAGCUGAAACAGGCCAGAGUGGCCAGACGGUGGGAAAGAAGAAGGGGGCAGUGAAUGAAAUGAUAAAGGCAGGAGGUUUUUAAAGGAUUACUUUUUCCAAUUACGUGUUUGUGUGUAAAACUGUGGGCUCGUUGGCACAUGAUGCUGUAGAGGUCAAAAGUAUAAACUGGGUCAAAAAAGCAAUUCGACAAAUUUAUGGAGGAAAAGUCCCUGGAGGUUUACUAAAGGCAAAGGCAGACCUCUGCAACAUGUUGGUGGACAAUACACAGCAAAAGUAUCACUCUCUCAUUUGCAUUUUCUCCCAAAAAUAUUGACUGCUCUUGGAGGUAAGAGGAAAGCCACAACAGACCUUUGGUCUCUUCCAGUUUGGCACUGGGAUGUUCAAAUCAGCACUAUCUUGUCCCCGAGCCGCUGAGCACGGGUCCACAUGCUGGCCUCUGCUAAAGGCUGGAGAACAGUCUCAUGGGGUGGCUGCACUCUUUGCCCAGUUUAACUCCCCUCCAGGGUAAUAAGAGGUUACUGUGAGCACUGAGUACGAACUGAAUCCAAGGGCCAGCUUUGCCACAAAUAUAUUUGAUGAUGGUGCAGCUCCCGUGGUAAAAGAACAAGGUUGCUGUCUUAAUUCACCUGCACUUCCCCUCACCUGGAGCCAUUUGGCAGUAGGAAGCCUGCAGAUCUGCUUGCGUCAGAGUUACUGAGCAAGAACUUGAGUAUGAAAAAGCCUUAAUUGUUGAAAACGAGGUGGGGGCGAGGUGUUUUGGUUUAUUCUCCCUCCUACCACUCAAAGUUUCAAGGUAGAAAAGGGAAGUGCUUUCGUCACAAGCAGCGAUUACCCCAGUGAGUUUCAGAUGAGUUAGGCAUUUCACUUCCCUGCUCCCAUGGGAAUCCUCAGGUAAAACAGACAUGUCCUGUCUGCAGCGGUGCUCCGAUGUACAGAGGCUGGGAACAGAAGAAGGACAAAUCUCCUGACUUUAUUUUUGCUGGGGGUGUAAAAUGAGCCAAGGCUUUCUGCAGUCACUAUUCUAUACACAUCUUUUGGGUCUGAUGCUAUUUUUGUUGGCUGUGACCCUGGAGGUGUAGGUGUGGAAGUGCCUUUCUGCUGGUCUCUGCAAGCGGGUGUAGAUGUUUCCUCUGUUCCAGGCGCCUCCUCAGACUCUGUGGCCUUUCAGGGGGAGUAGGCGGAUGUCAGCGUGGCCUUUCCCCACCUGUCUGUAACUUUUUAAUACUUCCUUUUAUUUUGGCCUUGCGCUUCUUCCAUGGAACAUCUCUGGGUAGCCACUGGGAGGUGUAAAUGGCUUGAGAUGGAAACCACAGCUUGUAGGUGCGCCCUCUGCCAGGCUUUUCUGGCACCCGAGGAAGUCGGGUCUCCGCCUGCUCCCAAGCAAAAGGGAUAUUACCAGCUGCUCGGUGAGAAAACAAAUUCACAGAGAUACAGAAAAGUGUGUUAAGGUGGUGGGAAGCAACGGGAGUGAGAUUCCUGGCAGCUCGGGGGUGUGCCUGUUCUCAGUGAAGUUACAAACCCUCUAGGGCAAGGCGCAAGACUCAUCUGAUCUCCUCCCUGAACACGCCGCAAGUGCAUGAAGCUAGAGAAGGGAUUUCCAUCCUGCUAGUGUGGAAAUGGGAGCUGAGGAAGUGCCCAGCCUGGCUGCAGCAAGGCAAGGUCUCCUGCAUGUGGCUGGUCCAACUGGAUAAUAGGUCCAACAGUAACGCAUAGCAGCAGGAAACUCUUCCCAUCCAAUGGUUGCCUGUUGUCCUGUGUGAAAUGAGAGUUCAGCCAGUGCUGCUUUGUUUAUCUGUGGAUGGACACUUGCUAUCUCCAAGCCUACAGAGUGAGCAUUGGUAGACAUAUUAAAAUAAUUUUUAAGAAGUCUUCUGACUCUAAAGUUCAGUGCCUUUCAGUCUGUGUACACUGAUCUGAGAAAUCAUGUCCACUAAUUGUUACAGAAGUCAGCAGCUGGUUGGCCCACCAGUAUAAUGCCAGGAUGCUGGGCAAACUUGUGCCCCUCCUCCCAAGUUCACAUGUGUUUGAGAUGUGCAGCUCAAAGAUGACCAGUCUGUUACCUCUGAUAUUGUCAACGGAUAAAAAUCCUACAGGUUCAA